rnacentral:rRNA from 1 species
AUUGAACGCUGGCGGCACGCCUUACACAUGCAAGUCGAACGGCAGCGGGGACUUCGGUCCGCCGGCGAGUGGCGAACGGGUGAGUAAUGUAUCGGAACGUACCUUUCAGUGGGGGAUAACGUAGCGAAAGUUACGCUAAUACCGCAUAUUCUCUGAGGAGGAAAGCAGGAGACCUUCGGGCCUUGUGCUGAUGGAGCGGCCGAUAUCAGAUUAGCUAGUUGGUGAGGUAAAGGCUCACCAAGGCGACGAUCUGUAGCGGGUCUGAGAGGAUGAUCCGCCACACUGGGACUGAGACACGGCCCAGACUCCUACGGGAGGCAGCAGUGGGGAAUUUUGGACAAUGGGCGCAAGCCUGAUCCAGCCAUGCCGCGUGAGUGAAGAAGGCCUUCGGGUUGUAAAGCUCUUUCGGACGGGAAGAAAUUGGUGGGGCUAAUAUCCCCAUCGGAUGACGGUACCGUAAUAAGAAGCACCGGCUAACUACGUGCCAGCAGCCGCAGUAAAAC